AGUACUUUGUGUCAAUGUAGUGCUCGAGUCUGCCUUGUGCACUUUAUCUUUUACUGGCAUGUACAGAGGAUUUUGAAAUAUCUGCACAACUUGUAAAAAAUGAAACCAAGAUUAAUCGUUUGAGAACUUUUUCCAACUUUAAUAUAAAACAACCUAUAGCUGUAACGUUCCGGAGCUGUUUGGACUUGAUAUUCUUCUGUGUGUGGAUUUGAAUCAUUUCUUUGCUGUUUAUUAUGUUACUUAAAUCGUGCUUUCUUUACUUUAUCUCCUGUGCUCCAAUCAUUGGGUGUUUAUCUUAUCAAUUCAUUCUUAUCAGUUUUGCUUCUUCUAGUGUUUGUACUUUCAGAUUAUUUUCCUGUUAGAUAUUUCCCCUGGGGUUUCUUGUAUCCUGUUCAGCUCCAUUCAUGUUUAUCCACCCUCAGCCACAGCCGUGAUGCAAUCAGGUAGAUUCUGCUCACCUGCGCCGCCUCAAUUAGUCCUCGACCUGCACCUGUUUCUUUGCCCAUUAAAACUCUUUGUUUGUAAUUGUUCCCUGCAGGAUUCUACCCUUUGUCUGUUUAUCUGCCAUUCAUCAUCGCUUGUUUAAUUCCACCUGUUCCUCCCAUGAUGACUUCCCAGGAGCAAGCAGGACUGUCUGAAACUCAAAGGACCCAGCCUCCCACCACUUCGCUUGAGCCUUUAUCUUCUUCUUUGAGGUGUCCGUCAUUUUCCAGGUUCCCUGAUGACUGAAUCUAAAAAAAAAAAAGUCUUAAAGAAUGAAAAACUAAGAUGGUAAAAUAAAUAAAUCUUGUGGCCACCUAAAGAGAAG